rnacentral:rRNA from 1 species
AACGAAGGAGGCGAACGUUAUCCGGAGUGACUGGGCGUAAAGCGCGUGUAGGCGGUCAGGAAAGCUGGGUGUGAAAGCGCUCGGCUUAACCGGGCAAGUGCACCCAAGACUGCGUGGCUGGAGGAAGGUAGAGGAGAGCGGAAUUAAGGGUGUAGCGGUGAAAUGUGUUGAGAUCCGGAGGAACACCGGUGGUGAAGGCGGCGCUCUGGGCCGGUCCUGACGCUGAGACGCGAAAGCGUGGGGAGCGAACGGG